rnacentral:sRNA from 1 species
UAAAAGUAUCACUGCCGAAGACAGCAGGUGCCGUAUGGCGUAACGAAGAACGGCCUGCCGAGGAUGAUAAUUAGUAUUGGACUAAUUGUGUCUUUUGUCUUGCGGACAAAAGACUUUUUUUAUAU